GACGAACGCUGGCGGCGUGCUUAACACAUGCAAGUCGAACGGAAAGGCCCUGCUUGCAGGGUGCUCGAGUGGCGAACGGGUGAGUAACACGUGGGUGAUCUGCCCCUUACUUUGGGAUAAGCCUGGGAAACUGGGUCUAAUACUGGAUAGGACCAUGCUGUAGGUGGUGUGGUGGAAAGAUUAGUUUCGGUAAGGGAUGAGCUCGCGGCCUAUCAGCUUGUUGGUGGGGUAAUGGCCUACCAAGGCGUCGACGGGUAGCCGGCCUGAGAGGGUGGACGGCCACAUUGGGACUGAGAUACGGCCCAGACUCCUACGGGAGGCAGCAGUGGGGAAUAUUGCACAAUGGGCGCAAGCCUGAUGCAGCGACGCCGCGUGGGGGAUGACGGUCUUCGGGUUGUAAACUCCUUUCAGCCAUGACGAAGCCCUUGUGGUGACGGUAGUGGUAGAAGAAGCACCGGCUAACUACGUG
rnacentral:rRNA from 1 species